rnacentral:rRNA from 1 species
UACGGAGGGUGCAAGCGUUGUCCGGAAUCACUGGGCGUAAAGGGCGCGUAGGCGGCUCAUGAAGGCUGUGGUGAAAGUCCGGGGCUCAACCUCGGAUCGGCCGUGGCGACUCGUGGGCUGGAGCACUGUAGAGGCGGGUGGAAUUCCGGGUGUAGCGGUGGAAUGCGUAGAGAUCCGGAAGAACGCCAGUGGCGAAGGCGGCCCGCUGGGCAGUGGCUGACGCUGAAGCGCGACAGCGUGGGGAGCAAACAGG